UGAAACUUGACAACUUUGUUUCAGCAGUGCCUGAGUAUUUAACAUAUUCUCACGGGAAAGUGUGGCAUGAGAAAUUUUGAUUUAGUACCUUUUGUUCUAGGAAUUUGCUAAAGCGUGCAUGAAAUUGUGUGGUUCCUUCAGGCAAUGUAUUGCGUAACAGUUAACAAUUAGCAGUAAAUGACAGCCUGUUAACAAAACACAUUAUUGCUCUGGAAGUGUAAACAUAAGACCAUCUGAAAUUAUCUACAUUGAAUUUUAUGAUUUAAUUAUGGUAUUACUGUGAGGCUUAGAAUGGAUUUAUGAUGUUUCAGUGUUCUGAAAUAAUUCCUUCUAAAUAACCAAUAAAGGCUUGUUUAAGUUGUGAUUUUCAUUUAAUAUACCUUUUUUCCUCAGAGAAAAGGAGAAAUCCCAAACUUGGUUGCCUGUGAUUGAGAAGCAUGACAUUCCCAUUGUGGUUGGAGUUGGUGUUUCAUUGGCAUUCAUCUUCAUUGCCAUGGCCUUUUACUCUCUGGUUCAGAAAAAUGAUCCUGCAGCUGUACCUACAGGGAGGGCAGGUGAAAUAUAAUAUAUAUUUUAAAAAUAAACCUUGAUACUCAUUUUACUCAUAGACUUUGAUGAGUUCAUAAAUAAGAUGUUCAAGUAUAAUAAAACAUUGUUUUCUCAUAGCUUUGAGGGGAAUAGGUGGGCCUUGCAGGCAUGGUGAACGUCUUGCGAUGGAAAGGACAUACGAUAACAAGUUAGUUUUGUUCAGAGCAUGUUGACAGCAAGUAUAAUGCCCCUGUCAAUAUUGCAUUAAUUGAAUAGUAGUUCCAUAACUGUCUUAAUGAUGGCACAUUUCAGGGCAUUUGAAGAUGAUAAUUUGGUGGCUGUCAUUGAGCAAAGCCCCAACACAUCAGAGACAAGAGCGCUCCCAACAGAAGGCAGCCCAUCCACCUUGAUGAUGGAACCACCGCCUGAUGACUUGCAAGAGGGUGUCCAGUCCACCCAGGACCUGCCAGUUAUUGUCGAGACUCACCCAGAGCCUAGAGAAGAAGACCAGCUGGAGACUAUAUUUGAGGAGGGGAAGGUCACUCCCUCACCACAUUCUGACAUUCAGCUUCAGUUCAUGGAGGACUGGAGGAGCAGAGAGUUUGAACCAGCUCAGGACACCCCCUCACCUCCUCCAGCCAAUCCACCACCUGCCCAGGAGGAGGGCCUGCGCUCUUCCCUUACCCUCCAGACCAGUGAUCCCUCCUUAACUCCCGUGCGCCACAGCAUCAAUAUCUCCCACAGUUUCUCUCCCCUCCUGCUGUCCCAUUGCGUGUCCCUGGGCAUGACCUCUGUGGCUGUGGAUGUGCACUUCUACCCUUCGGCCCCUUCAGCAGCCGGCCAUCCUCCAUGUCCUGCCUUUGGACCCCCAGGCCAACAGGUACACACCAGGCUGGAGCAUGAACUGAAUGCACCCUCUACUAGCCACAGUAAAUAA
ensembl:lncRNA